AUUCUGCACCAAGGCUGAAUUUUGGGAAAGAGACGUCAGAUAUGGUAUCAGGGCACCACUAAGGUCUAUAUAUAAAUAUCCAAAAAGCACCAUGUCAUGGGACCUUUAACAAAAAUCCCCCGUAUUGUUGAACAUUUUCUUAACUGUUUGUACACAAGGACAAGUCAUUCACAGUAGGGGUGGGAAUCUCUGGGCGCCUCAUGAUUCAAUUCCCAUUCAGAGGCUAAUGAUUUGAUUCUAAACCAAUCAAUUAUUAUUUUUUUCUGUACAUUUCCAUGUACGAUGUACUCAGUUUGGUAAUCACUUCCUAGACAAAGCUUGGAUUUUGACAUAUUUGUCACUAUAGUUUAAAUGAAAUGUUUUGUCUACUGAGGUUUUAUAGUGUAGUCAUUCCAUGCUCAAGCCUUCAACAUGCUUGUGAACGUCCCCUUCUCUCUCACUGAUCCUCCAUGUCAGAGGCUCAGACGUGUUUAAAGCCGGAGAACUGGCUUCUUGGAACAGGAAACAUGAGUCAGAGGUUCUGAAUGAGGAGUUCAAAGUCUACUUACUGGUUUUCUUCCAGAGCUUUCAGCCUGAACGGGUUGCCUUCAUCAGCUAAUGUAAGGACAAUAUAUUUAUAAUGAAAUACAUCAUUACAUAGACAACUAUAGUGAUUAUUAUACAUAAAUCUAAUUAUAAUGCCUAGUUCAUAUUUAUACAUUACAAAUCACUCAUCUGUUUAUGCACCAGGCGCAAAUGCUUCACAGGAGAAGUCAUAAUUGUUGACUAAUGUAAUUAUAUCCGCUUAACUAUAUGUUAGUGUUUAUAUAAUGCUUAUAAGUGUGAAAUGGAAGGGUAACCAUGCGUCCUUCUACCGACUGUAUAUAGUUUCUAGCUAGAGUUCAGUUUCCUGUACAUUUCACCAGAGCUAAGUCCGUAGGUCCAGUUUGUUAUACACAUCUAAUAACAGGGUUCUACUGUCUGUUGUAAAUAACAGGUAUAGUGGAUUCACUGCCCUGUUAAUUUUCUAAUGCCUUUUACACUGAUUAAAUGCCUUUUUAAGUUUUUUCCAAUUGUGUCACCAGGUGUUUCUUUAGUGUCGUAGAAUGUAUUUAUUGAGCAGAGUAACUUGUCUAAUUGCUGAGCUUAAGCCAGAUGUACUGUCAUUUCUAUUAGCUAUUGUGGUUUCCAUUUAGCAAUGCCAGACAGCAUUGUAAUACAAAUUCUGUUCAUUCAGAUUCAUGAGUUCUUUGAAGGGAAUAUAGUUGGUCUGUGGGUUCACUUAAACAAGGUCAACUUUUUUUUUUUUUUCUUGACAUGCAAGGUGUAGGUAUAAGAGUUAAUCUCUUCAGACAUUACAUUUCUUUUUCAAGUUGAAUGAUCACUUUAAAAAUGAUUGUAAUUUUCACUGCGAUCCAGAUGUCACCUUCAUGUGCUUAAUAAAGAAACUUUGGCCAAA